rnacentral:lncRNA from 1 species
AAUCAUUGUCAGUUUCACCAUCUUUACUCCCCUUUUUCUCAGCUUUCACAAAAUCCCUUCAAACUAAUAGAAACGCAAAAUUAACACCUUAAGUAAAAAUUAACAAGCCAAAUUCCAUACCAUGAUAUUAAAAAAAGGCAUAGCGGAUUUCAAUUGACUAUAAUUCGAUAAUUUCAUUCUCAAUCUCAAUGGUACAACCACCCACCACAAAGCUGAAAAUAAAUACUAUUUUCCACUUGAACAAUUAUCAUUGCAAACAAUUAAAAUUAUCAGAAAAAAAAACAUAAAUUGAUUCCAUAAUUUUGAUUUUCACUAAACCCUCAUCAUUGGUCAAAAGCAAGAUCGACCCAACACUUCUUUUUCCAAUCGAAAGGUCAUUAAUGUAAUCCAAAGACAACCAAUCUAGUCAAUGUCAUCACGAUCUGACAAGGAAAUAUAUAUUUUUCAAGGAUUCCAACAAAACCCAGAAAUUCAGUAGAAGAAAAAAAAAUCUUAUAUAAGAAUUUCCACAACGAACGAUUUUUUUCUUCAAAUAAUUAUAUGCAUGCACAUUUAAAAAUCGAUAAAUAAAAGCUAUUAGUUUUUAAUGGAAUACCUGAUUAGAGCAUGUAGGUCUUCGGAUUUCUCCUUGAUUUCAACGAUCAGAAAAAGGAAUGAAGAACGGAAGAAGGACAAGGAGCCUUACCUGGAUGAAGGAGGAACCGGAAGAGGUCCUUGACCAAACUGAUUUGCAACCCAAGGGGAAGGGGAAAGGGAAGGGGAAGGGGAAAGGGGAGAAGAAGGGUA